UGUUAAUAUUUCGUAUUAACGCAUUCAGCCCAACUCUAUUUUCUCCAUCGUCGUUGUCGAAUGACGAUUGAUAUUUAUGGCUUACUCGGCAAACUCUUGCCCUUCCUCUUCCAAACCAGACAAUUACAGGCUUUAAAACUAAUGCUUCUUCGUCUCUUUCCAUAUUCUUCCGUUUAGUUUGCCCUCUCUCUCCAUAAAUUUCGUGUUUCCAAUUAUCGAACUCCUAAAAACGCGAUGACGACGACUUUUACAAGGCCAGAGCAAUUAUCUCGCAAGCGAGUCAGCUUCAUCUAUCAAUCUACUUCGUCAGCGUAGGGGAUGAUGAAGAAAAUUUCUUCUGAAGAGCAUGAUUGUUGCAAUGCAUGUGAAGAUGUUUGUAAAGCAUAUAUAAAGACAGUUUGAGGAGUAAUGAAUCCAUAUUUCAUUGACCAGGUGAAUUGCUGAUAAAAAGGUUUCAUUGUUGUUGUAGUAUCACUGAUUGCUUCAUUUUUUUUUUUUAUAUAUAUUAUGACACUUGCCUGUUUGAGGUUUUUUUGCAACGAGUAGAGGAUGAAGUAGGUGAAGGGUGUAAAAUAUAUGUGUUCUUGGAGGUGAAAAAAGUUGCGUAAAAGUUCCACUGGUGUAGUUAACCCUCUUGAGAGACAGAGUCCAGUGGAGUGUGAGAAGACUCCCUUGGCGAAGAAGUCGUUAAAGAUUCCUUUGGUGUUGGCUUAUGGACACCAUUCUUACAAGGAAGGUCCAGUUCCAAGAAGUUGAGCUGGAAAGAGCAACCAGGCAGCUCAAAGAGGCGUUUCCAAUCGCUAGCCAACAAACGACAAGAUGCGCGGCAGCCCAACGAGUGAUCCAAUCACUCACCACUCAAGUAAUUUCAUAGCUAAAUAAAUAGUAAUAUGGUUUAUGUGAUUACAAGUUUUUCUUAUGUUAUAAACAUCAACAAAAUUAUGGAGCUGGAAGACAUGGCUGAAAGAUUACCAUUUGGAUCAUCUCGAAAUAUAAAGUCUCCUCCGCCUCUUACUAUUUUCUUCCUGCCCUGGUCGUGUUGACCCUUUUAAUAUCUUACACCGACCAAAUGUUCAAGCACCCGAGCAAAAUUGUGCAAAUUCCUGAUGUUUUCUAAUGGGACCAUUACACAUGUAUUUGGAAAUGGUAAAGCAUCGGUUAAAGCACAGAACGACAAGGGAUGGUUGAACAGGAUGAGCUUGGUGUCUACAUCAGUCAAACGUGUCCGUUUCAGCCGCAAAAAUUUAAGAGCGAAACGGGAGGAACAUGGUGGCCAGACAACACAGGAAGAGUACACGACCAAUACAAUUUAUGAAUUGUUGACAAAGCCAAUGUGGAAAUGCCUCUCUGAAACUCUUUUAACACCAACCACUUCUCUUAUUCUUCCACGCAGGUUCAGGUGAGUGCAGAAUCUUGGGGUAUAAGAAAUAUGUAUAGAGGAAAUUAGAUGUUAUAAAAUAUUAUACGUGCUUCUUUCAUUGCAGUUUGGGGGCUGAGAAUGGUGUUUGUUGUGAAAAAAGGUUGUAAAUUCUUUGUGAUGUUCACACUGUAAAUUCUAUAAGCCAAUUCUUUUUAUCUCUGGAAA